rnacentral:lncRNA from 1 species
GGGGGACGAGGGCGGGCGGAGCAGGGGCAGUGGCUUAGCGAAAGCCAGGGUUGCAGGUCCAGAGGGUUGCUGAGGCUCUCAGGCGGUGACUACAAAAUGUGGACCAAGCAGCAGAAUCACCUGGAUGGCAUGCACCCUAGUGAGCGUGGAUAUUGGGGCCCUUCUAGACUUUCUGCCCCAGCAGGUUUGGGGUAGGGGCAGUUGGCGCGCUGGUAAAUUUUGCAACCAGCUUUCUUGAAGAAGAAGAAAGACGAGGAAGGGGGAGGAAGGAGGAGGAGGAAGAAGAGGGAGGAGGGGGAAGAAGGGGGGGAGGAGGAGGAGGAGGAGGAGGAGGAGAGGAAGAGGAAGAAGAAGAGGAAGAAGAAACCCCUGCUUUGCGGCACUUGCCGAUUUCCUGGUGUAAGUAUUCUCACUUUGGCAAAUUUCAGCUUCCCAUGUGAUGACGUCACUGAGCAAAGCUGGGAACAGAAGUGGCCCCUCGGCGCCUGUGAGCUGGUAAGAGCUGGUUCCAGGACACCAUGGGGACAGGGCCAGGAACCUGCAUGUUUAUUAGGCUCUCCUGGAUGAUUCUGACGCAGGGGACACGGUACCAGGCUUUUCAGGAGAAGCAGAAAGAGAUGGAAAACCGCUACAAUUCUGAGCAUAGAGCCAACAUUAAUGCGUUUUGCUUUCUUUGUCUGGAGGCAGCCCUCCAAUCUCCAAAUAGCCACGUAGCACCAUCACCACGUUUGUCAUAUCCGUUUACAAUCUGCACUGUUCGUUCCUUGUUUUUAAUUUACUACUCUAGCCUUUCCCUUAAUCAUGUUAUGUAAGAUGCUUCAAAUACCACUGUGAGUGUGAAACCACUACUAUUUGCCAUCUAUAAAAAGACGUGAAGACAUGAUAACAAAAGCCAUACUGUUAAAUUCUAGUUAUAUACCACCCCCUGUCUAGCGUUCUGAGCCUCAGGCCUGAUUUCUCUUUGUUAACAAGCAUUAGAGAGGUGUGGAAGUCCUAUUAGCACCAAAUGGUGAUAUUCUCCUUCAGAUAAUUAGGACUGCAAAAGACUUGAAAAGGAAGUGACUUCCUCUCUAUGAGAAAGAGUAUACAAAGAAGGCUUAUCGGCAUAACUUAAAACAUCUUCCAUGCCAAAUAACACUAAGCCCCACUUCACUGAGCCUUCUAGAAAAUGACAUAAUUGAGGUGUCCGGUGGUGAUGAUGGUGAAGGUGAGUUAUCCAUUACUGACCUCUUGCUAUGUAACAGACUUUAAGCUGAGCACUCCACUUAUAUCACCUCUAAUUGCAGGGAAGGGAAAAGAAGCUUGGAGAACUAUUACACUUGGCCUCCAUCUCGUAUUGAUCACGGAGCCAGGAUCUGACCCUAAAUCUUGCUGAUUCCAGAAACCUUAUUAAGAAUACACACGUCAAGGUUUGCAGUUGGUUUCCUUCUUUUCCUCAUCGCUUUGUGGGAGGAUCGAGUCACAUUACAUCCACAAAACACCUGACCCACAUCCAGCUGCUGGUAUGCUCAUGCAAGAUGGUGGGUCCCGUCCUUCCUAUGAUGAUCUCCACAUUCCCUGAACAGACCCCCGUAAGUGAGUCUUCUCUUCAAAGUAUUCCCAAAGCAGAGGCCUCUUUAGCCGCAAAACAAAGUAAGGCCACGUGUUGUACACAGAGGUUUUAUCAUUACUCAUAUGCCCCUUAGUCCUCUGACCCCCCGUCUAUGG